GGAGAGGUUCCCGAGUGGCCAAAGGGGACGGGCUGUAAACCCGUUGGCUCAGCCUUCGGAGGUUCGAAUCCUCCCCUCUCCACCA
rnacentral:tRNA from 1 species